ensembl:snRNA U2 U2 spliceosomal RNA
AUCGCUUCUCAGCCUUUUGGCUAAGAUCAAGUGUAGAUGACAAAAUCUUAGCUUUAUUAUACUUGAAUUUAAAAUAUUUCUACAGUAAGUUAGACUUUUUUUCAGUCUGUUUCAUAAAAAUACAAAUGUUAGGGUAUCCUUC